rnacentral:rRNA from 1 species
UACGUAGGGGGCAAGCGUUAUCCGGAAUCAUUGGGCGUAAAGAGUACGUAGGUGGCUCGUUAAGCGCGGGGUUUAAGGCGACGGCUUAACUGUCGUUCGCCCCGUGAACUGAUGGGCUUGAGUGCUGGAGGGGAAGGUGGAAUUCCUAGUGUAGCGGUGAAAUGCGUAGAUAUUAGGAGGAACACCGGUGGCGAAGGCGACUUUCUGGACAGCAACUGACACUGAGGUACGAAAGCGUGGGGAGCAAACA